CCCCGCGAGUGUUCGGGCGUCAAACCCCCGGCGCGGAAUGAAAGUGAACGGAGGUGGGAGCCCCGCGAGGGGCGCACUAUCGACCGAUCCAGAUGUCUUCGGAUGGAUUUGAGUACGAGCGCGGCCGUUGGGACCCGAAAGAUGGUGAACUAUGCCUGGGUAGGGUGAAGCCAGAGGAAACUCUGGUGGAGGCUCGCAGCGGUUCUGACGUGCAAAUCGAUCGUCAAACCUGGGCAUAGGGGCGAAAGACUAAUCGAACCAUCUAGUAGCUGGUUCCUGUCGAAGUUUCCCUCAGGAUAGCAGUCGCGCGGGCGGUUUUAUGAGGUAAAGCGAAUGAUUAGAGGCCUUGGGGGUGCAAUACCCUUAACCUAUUCUCAAACUUUAAAUAUGUAAGAAGCCCCUGUUGCUUCGGUGAACGGGGGCGUGCGAACGCGGCGCGGCUAGUGGGCCAUUUUUGGUAAGCAGAACUGGCGAUGCGGGAUGAACCGAACGCGGGGUUAAGGUGCCGGAAUGCACGCUCAUCAGACACCACAAAAGAUGUCAAUUCAUCCGGACAGCCGGACGGUGGCCAUGGAAGCCGGAAUCCGCCNAGGAGUGCGUAAC
rnacentral:rRNA from 1 species